AGAGUUUGAUCCUGGCUCAGAACGUACGCUGGCGGCACGCCUAACACAUGCAAGUCGAACGAAGUAGCAAUACUUAGUGGCAGACGGGUGAGUAACAUGUAGGUAUCUGCCCUUUGGCCUGGAAUAACACGAGGAAACUUGUGCUAAUACCGGAUAAGUCUUUACGGAGAAAGCUUUAUGCACCAUUGGAUGAGCCUGCACUUGAUUAGUUUGUUGGUGGGGUAAUGGCCUACCAAGACUGUGAUCAAUAGCUGAUUUGAGAGGAUGAUCAGCCACAUUGGGACUGAGACACGGCCCAAACUCCUACGGGAGGCAGCAGUGGGGAAUCUUGCACAAUGGAGGAAACUCUGAUGCAGCGAUGCCGCGUGAGUGAAGAAGGCCCUUGGGUUGUAAAGCUCUUUCGUCGGGGAAGAAAAUGACUGUACCCGAAUAAGAAGGUCCGGCUAACUUCGUGCCAGCAGCCGCGGUAAUACGAAGGGACCUAGCGUAGUUCGGAAUUACUGGGCUUAAAGAGUUCGUAGGUGGUUGAAAAAGUUAGUGGUGAAAUCCCAGAGCUUAACUCUGGAACUGCCAUUAAAACUUUUCAGCUAGAGUAUGAUAGAGGAAAGCAGAAUUUCUAGUGUAGAGGUGAAAUUCGUAGAUAUUAGAAAGAAUACCAAUUGCGAAGGCAGCUUUCUGGAUCAUUACUGACACUGAGGAACGAAAGCAUGGGUAGCGAAGAGGAUUAGAUACCCUCGUAGUCCAUGCCGUAAACGAUGUGUGUUAGACGUUGGAAAUUUAUUUUCAGUGUCGCAGGGAAACCGAUAAACACACCGCCUGGGGAGUACGACCGCAAGGUUAAAACUCAAAUGAAUUGACGGGGACCCGCACAAGUAGUGGAGCAUGUGG
rnacentral:rRNA from 1 species